AACAACAGUGACAGAACUUGGUCCCAUUAAGCUGAGCAGUACAACUAAGCUGUGUACACCUACAUGUGAAGCUGGGACCCAACAGCUCCCGACUGGGUCAAUAACUACCCACUGCUGUGACACUGACCUCUGCAAUGCAGCAGAUGGCGUGUAUAAGGGAAGCUUCCUCCUGCUGUUGUCUCCUCUGCUCUUCUACUUCCUGUUUCAGUGAGUCCAGCUGCACUUCAGAUUCUACAGCUGCAUGAAAAAAUGAAUGUCACACGUUUCUAUUAAUACUUUACUGAAUGAAGUGUGCAUGUUG